ensembl:snRNA U6 U6 spliceosomal RNA
GUGCUUACUUGGCAGUACAUAUACUAACAUUGGAAUGAUACAGAAAUUAUCACGGCUCCCGCACAAGGAUGGCAUGCAAAUUUGUGAAUUGUUCUAUAUUUAA